UCCUCCGUGGCGCAAUUGGCUAGCGCGUUCGACUGUUAUUAACAGACUAUCGAGAGGUUGACAGUUCAAGCCUGUCCGGGGGAG
rnacentral:tRNA from 3 species